GACAGAGGAGCCAAGCGUUGUCCGGAUUCAUUGGGCGUAAAGAGCGCGCAGGCGGCUUGGUAAGUCGGAUGUGAAAUCCCGAGGCUCAACCUCGGGUCUGCAUCCGAUACUGCCCGGCUAGAGGUAGGUAGGGGAGAUCGGAAUUCCUGGUGUAGCGGUGAAAUGCGCAGAUAUCAGGAGGAACACCGGUGGCGAAGGCGGAUCUCUGGGCCUUGCCUGACGCUCAGGCGCGAAAGCUAGGGGAGCGAACUGG
rnacentral:rRNA from 1 species